GAUAAACGCUGGCGGCGUGCCUAAUACAUGCAAGUCGAACGCUGGAGACCGACUUCGGUUGGUCGAAGGAGUGGCGAACGGGUGAGUAAUACAUAAGCAACCUGCCCACGAAGACCGGGAUAAUCCCUGGAAACGGGGACUAAUACCGGAUAGGCAUUUGAGAGGCAUCUCUAAAAUGUUAAAGAUUAAAAGCACUGGUGGAUGGGCUUAUGGCGCAUUAGCUUGUUGGUGAGGUAACGGCCACCAAGGCGAUGAUGCGUAGCCGGCCUGAGAGGGUGAACGGCCACAUUGGGACUGAGACACGGCCCAGACUCCUACGGGAGGCAGCAGUAGGGAAUAUUGCACAAUGGGGGAAACCCUGAUGCAGCAACGCCGCGUGAAGGAUGAAGGUUUUCGGAUCGUAAACUUCUAUCAACAGGGAAGAAAAAAUGACGGUACCUGAAUAAGAAGCCCCGGCUAACUACGUG
rnacentral:rRNA from 1 species